GUUCGUUUUUAUUAUGAGAAUGCGUGGUACACCUCAGCACCCACAAAACAAAAAACAAUCUGGAUUAUUUUCUAGGGGAAGAAAAGUAAAACUGACUCAAGAAGAAGUAGAAAUAACCAUCAGAAGUUGGCAAGAUGGACGAGUCUAUCCAUAAAAAUGGCACCAGGCCCAGAUGGCCUUCAGGCACGUGCAGCCACAUUCUCACGGAGCAGAUACGGAGACCCCUCCAAGCGCAGAAGGAAAACGCACGUAGAGCCUUCAUCAUGUCAAUCAGCGAUUCAGUGACGCGAAGAACUCCCACAAUGCCUUGCAACCGUGACCACCGACACAGCGUUUUGGAACGUUGGACUGCAGCACAAGACGCACGUCCAAAACCACGCCUGUGUCAGCGGCUGCAUUACAGAUCCUCGCGCAACGAGCGCGCCAACAGCCGGCUCACCAAGCCACCCGUCUGCCUGCCGCCCCGGGCCUGCCGUCCUUUUCUGGCCUUGCGCAGUGCUCCCUCCCGGGCGGCCGUGCAGGGGGCGGUAACUUGGCCUCACGCUGACGUCAACGACGCCGCUUAACGUCUCGCACGACGGAGGUGGGCAAGCACUAGGGUUGGCGACCGGGGUGCCUCCGCGUCUCCCAGACCUGGGGGCGCGUGCCGGGACUCACAGGAGAGGUGCGGAAGGGCCGGGUCUGCCCCCAGGCUGGGCGAGGCUGCUGCUGGAUGCAGGCUCCCCACCCCGACUGGGCAGGAUGCAGGGGGAGAACGGAGCACCUCCUCAGAGAGCACUCCGCCUGUCCUGGAGUCCGGCAGCACAUGUCCGUUUGCAUGCGUCGUGCACAACCGGACCUACGCCCACCCCGCCCGGAUCCAGCUCCAGCAGCAGAGUCCCCGAGAUCGGCCUGGGCUCUUCUUGGCACCUGGUGGUCUGUGGACCCCUUCUCCGAAUCAGGUUUUAACGUACAGGUUUUAACAUAACGGGGGCGCCUGGGUGCCCCAGUCGGUUGAGCAUCCGACUUCGGCUCAGGUCAUGAUCUCACAGUUCGUGAGUUCGAGCCCCGCGUGGGGCUCUGUGCUGACAGCUCGGAGCUUGGAGCCUGUUUUGGAUUCUGUGUCUCUCUCUCUCUCUGCCCCUCCCCCGCCCACACUCUGUUUCUCUUUCUCUCAAAAAGAAAUAAACAUUAAAAAAAUUAAAAUGAACA
rnacentral:lncRNA from 1 species